rnacentral:rRNA from 1 species
UACAGAGGGGGCAAGCGUUGUUCGGAAUUACUGGGCGUAAAGGGCGCGUAGGCGGCCUUCUAAGUCGAACGUGAAAUCCCCGGGCUCAACCCGGGAACUGCGUCCGAUACUGGAAGGCUUGAAUCCGGGAGAGGGAUGCGGAAUUCCCGGUGUAGCGGUGAAAUGCGCAGAUAUCGGGAGGAACACCGGUGGCGAAGGCGGUUCUCUGGGCCUUACCUGACGCUGAGGAGCGAAAGCGUGGGGAGCGAACAGG